UAGGGAAUUUUCCACAAUGGACGAAAGUCUGAUGGAGCAACGCCGCGUGCAGGAUGAAGGCCUUCGGGUUGUAAACUGCUUUUAUCUGUGACGAUUAUGACGGUAGCAGAUGAAUAAGGAUCGGCUAACUCCGUGCCAGCAGCCGCGGUCAUACGGAGGAUCCAAGCGUUAUCCGGAAUUACUGGGCGUAAAGAGUUGCGUAGGCGGCAUAGCAAGCAGGGUGUGAAAUCGUGUGGCUCAACCACAUAAACAUGCUCUGAACUGCUAAGCUAGAGAAUGGAAGAGGUCGCUAGAAUUCCUGGUGUAGGGGUGAAAUCCGUAGAUAUCAGGAGGAAUACCGAUGGCGUAGGCAGGCGACUGGUCCAUUUCUGACGCUCAGGCACGAAAGCGUGGGGAGCGA
rnacentral:rRNA from 1 species